CAGUAGCCGCGGGAAUACGAAGGGUGCAAGCGUUAAUCGGAAUUACUGGGCGUAAAGCGUGCGUAGGCGGUUUGUUAAGUCUGUUGUGAAAUCCCCGGGCUCAACCUGGGAAUGGCAAUGGAUACUGGCAAGCUAGAGUGUGUCAGAGGGGGGUGGAAUUCCGCGUGUAGCAGUGAAAUGCGUAGAUAUGCGGAGGAACACCGAUGGCGAAGGCAGCCCCCUGGGCCAACACUGACGCUCAUGCACGAAAGCGUGGGGAGCAAACAGGAUUAGAUACCCCCGUAGUCCCUGUCUCUUAUAU
rnacentral:rRNA from 1 species